GAUGAACGCUGGCGGCGUGCCUAAUACAUGCAAGUCGAGCGAACGGACGAGAAGCUUGCUUUUCUGAUGUUAGCGGCGGACGGGUGAGUAACACGUGGAUAACCUACCUAUAAGACUGGGAUAACUUCGGGAAACCGGAGCUAAUACCGGAUAAUAUUUUGAACCGCAUGGUUCAAAAGUGAAAGACGGUCUUGCUGUCACUUAUAGAUGGAUCCGCGCUGCAUUAGCUAGUUGGUAAGGUAACGGCUUACCAAGGCAACGAUGCAUAGCCGACCUGAGAGGGUGAUCGGCCACACUGGAACUGAGACACGGUCCAGACUCCUCAGGGAGGCAGCAGUAGGGAAUCUUCCGCAAUGGGCGAAAGCCUGACGGAGCAACGCCGAGUGAGUGAUGAAGGUCUUCGGAUCGUAAAACUCUGUUAUUAGGGAAGAACAUAUGUGUAAGUAACUGUGCACAUCUUGACGGUACCUAAUCAGAAAGCAACGGCUAACUACGUG
rnacentral:rRNA from 1 species